rnacentral:lncRNA from 1 species
NNNNNNNNNNNNNNNNNNNNNNNNNNNNNNNNNNNNNNNNNNNNNNNNNNNGCCGGCCCCUCUCACCCUUUCAUUCUCUGCCCGGGGCCUGACGCGGGCCGGCGAAUCCCCGGCCUCACAUCAGAGUGAGAGGCGCUGGCAAUGGACUAGGAAGCUCGGCUGCCGCUGCUACUGCUCCCCCCUGGGCUCCGGCGAGAGCCUUUCCCUGUCAAGCAAGAGGGCCAAGAAGGCAGGGCUGCCGGGGCUGCACAGAAGAGGCAGCAGCCUCCUACAGCACCACUACAGGCACUGCGAGGACAUAACACCAGAGAGCCGCUCCUCUGCCCUCCGAAACGACAACUUUCCUACCAUCUUGGAGGCAGAGGAAAGGGGGGCCGGGGGGAAAAGUGCACCCGCUCCCGAUAAAGUACAAAUUUCUACUUCUCAUCUCUGGAAAAAAGUCCACACCGGCCGUCUACACCGGCGCCUGGGGGAAAAGGCGGGGAAGAAACUGGGGGUGCUUGAGAAACGUUUUCAUGGGCACCACGGGGCAAAAUGUUUCUGCAUCUUCUGAUGGAGAGAAAUCUUUACAAGACACAGGUUUUCCGGCUAAUCCUGAUUUUUCUCCAUUGCAGAUCCAAGUUCUGGGGCUGGGGGUCUGUUUAUAAAUUUGUACUUCAAGAGACUUCAUAGCCACGUUAUCUUCAUUUGUCUGUUUAUAUUUUUUUACAUGUAUCUGUACAGGUUGUCUUAUAUACAAAAAUGUGUGUUAUUUAUUCCCCUCAAAACUGAGAUUCCGAAAAGACAAUUGUAAAGGGAUGUCUUUUGUCUCCUUUUCUCAAAGCAAUGUAAAUAAAACCUAUUGAGUGUCCAGAAAGGCUGGACACAGCUGUUUAUUUUUCACAGUGCAAAUAAAGGCAGAGAUCAGUGAGAGGUUAAAUACAACUUCAGGGUAACUGACCAGAUUUCUGGAAAUAAUUCUGCUAGGCUCUCCUCAGGAAGAAAGGUUACUGUGAAACUGGAAAUAGAUUUGAAAGCUUUAGAUUUUCUUUAAGACUGCUUAUUAAGAAACUGCUUAUUAUACCUAGAUACUGGACUUUCUCAUUGGAUUCUUUAGAUCUUUGGUGACUCGCACGUGUUGCUGCCCACUUUUCUGUGUCACAGAAUGGGAAAAUGUGUGUUUUUGUUCGAGUUGCUGUGUUGUUAGUUUAUAACUUCCAAUGUGCUGCCGGCCUCUAUAAAUUACUUUUAAUAUAUUGCAGUGGAUGUCACAGGUCUACUUUUUUUUAACGAGCAAAGCUUCGUAGGUAAGUGGGAUCAAAGUUGCACAAAGCUGAGGUAGCACAGAGGUAAGAGAAGGGAUCCGCCCCCUUGCAACAAUUCCCACAGAGCUCUUAUUGGAGGAGAAUAAAUUCCAGAGAUAUUUUUCUAUUUUUGCCAAGAAAGGGGAGAGUACCAAAAAAUGACUAAAGGAUCUUUUUGUGGGUUCUACUGGGAAUGAUGAAUUGAAUCUUACACUAAGUUAUUUUUCUGACAUAUGUUUGCUAACCUAGUGGGAAUGGAUUUGUAAUAUUAGUGCCUCGAAUCAGCAGAAUAUUUAAUUUCUUUCAUUUAAAAUGUAUUGCAAAGCACUUAGAAAUAACUGAUGACUCCACUUAAAAAUGUUUCUUCUUUUGAGCGUCCAAAUUUAGAAAUUCCCAUAAUGUUAAAGUGAGUUCAGAUAAUGCAUAUAUCAAAUACUUAUUAUUUUCAUGUUUAUCUUGAUCAUCUUUACCAUCUUUAUCAUCUAAAUUUGAAUACAGUACCUGAAUAGUCUGGGUUUUCUUUUGUGGGCUUUUUUUUUUCCCCUCCCGUUAGUAGAAAAAUCAAAAGUUGUGGGGCCUGGGUGGCUCAGUUGGUUAGUGGCUGCCUUCGGCUCAGGUCAUGAUCCCGGGGUCUGGGAUCUGCUUGAUGUGGAACCUGCCUGGAGCCUCUUCUCCCUCUCCCUCUGCCGCCUCCCCCUGCUUGUGCUCUCUCCCUUGCCCUCUUACUCUCAAAUCAGAAAAAUCUUAAAAAAAAAAAAACCAAAAAGUAAUUCAAGUAAAAUUAACUGAUUCUUAUCUUGGAAACCUCACUGGGAAGUUGUAUUUUAUUUACAAGUUUUUAAAAAACAUUUGGAGAUCAAACGCAUUGGUCAUGACAAGGAAAUUACUUCCCUUAAUAUGGAACCUUAGUGGACUUGAAAAACGGGUUUCAAACUUGUUCUUCUAUAUGAUGUGACUUUAUAGGUAUGCUUUGCAUUUUUGAAGAAAUUAAGAUGUGUUCACUUUAAGCUGACUGCACCCUUUUAUGCAAUCCCUCUUGUGUCCCACAAACUUAUUUGCACGAAAAGGAUAUGGGAUUUGAUGCAUAAUCUUAGUAUUUCAGUGUCUUUAUAAAACUUGACUUAUACAUGCCUAUAAUCCAUGAUGUUUAUGCACCAGCUGCAGACUUGGGGAAUUACAGCCUAACCGAGAAAGAAAUCUCACUGCGUUCGCAAUAUUUGGUGAAUUUGAUUGGUCAGUGUUUCAGUUGCUCAUUGAACUUGUAUUAGGAGGUAUGUCUCCGGAAUUCCUAGAAGCUGCAGGUAGUAACAAAACUACUGACCUAACUGGGACGCCUGGGUGGCUCAGUCAGUUAAGUGUCUGCCUUUGGCCCAGAUCAUGAUCUCAGAGGAUACAGCGCCCCCCUCUUUAGACUUCCUGCUCGGCAAGGAGUCCGCUUCUCCCUCUCCCCUACCCCUCCCCCAGCUCAUGCCCACACUCCUGCAUGCUCUCUCUCAAAUAAAUAAGUAAAAUCUUUUUUUUUUUUUUUAAUCAGAGAGAGAAAGGGAGAGAGCGAGCACAGGCAGGCAGAGAGGCCGCAGAGGCGGAGGGAGAAGCAGGCUCCCAGCCGAGCAAGGAGCCCGAUGUGGGACUCGAUCCCAGGACGCUGGGAUCAUGACCUGAGCCGAAGGCAGCUGCUUAACCAACUGAG